CUACAGACAGUUAAGCCAAGCGGGUUCCUUUCCUCAUGGUGGUCCAGUGCGCAGUGGCUGCCAACAGCAGCUUCCUUGGGAGAUGACAUAACCUGUGGCUUGUACAGAUGCCUCGAGGGACCUUGGAGACAGUU
ensembl:snoRNA SNORA70 Small nucleolar RNA SNORA70